rnacentral:rRNA from 1 species
AAAUGAGUUUGAUCCUGGCUCCGGAUGAACGCUUGCAAUAUACUUAACACAUGCUAGUCGAAUGUUUUUAAAACAUGGCGCACGGGUGAGUAACACAUAAGAAACUACUUUAAAGAUUGAGAUAAUUAAAAUAGAUUCUUCUAUGAUAAAAAUAUCAAAUAUACAGAAAGGCUAAAUGCUGCUUUAAAAUGUGCUUAUGCAGGAUUAGGUCGUUGGUGGGGUAAAGGCUCACCAAGCCGAUGAUCCUUAGUUGGUCUGGGAGGACGAUCAACCACACUGGGACUGAGAUAAGGCCCAGGCUUUUAGCCAGCAGUGAGGAAUCUUGGACAAUGGGCGAAAGCCUGAUCCAGUAAUAUUGCGUGAAUGAGGAAAGCAAAAAAGAUUUAUCAUUUAAUUUUAUUAGGCGGUAAAUUGGCUGUAAAGUUCUUUCGCUAAUGAAGAUAAUGACAUUAAUUAGAGAAGAAGCUCCGGCUAACUUCGUGCCAGCAGCCGCGGUAAUACGAGGGGAGCGAGCGUUAUCCAAAAUGAUUGGGCGUAAAGAGUUUGUAGGCUGUAUUUGUUGUUAUAUGUAAAAUAAUAAGCUUAUUCCUUAUUACUGCAUGUAUUACACUUUUACUUGAGUAUAACAGAGGUUAACAGAAUUUUAUAGGAAAGAGUAAAAUCUAAUGAUCUAUGAAGGAAUGUCAGCGGCGAAGGCGGUUAUCUGGGUUAUUACUGACGCUGAGGAACGAAAGCAUGGGGAGCAAACAGGAUUAGAUACCCUGGUAGUCCAUGCUGUCAAAGAUGAAUGCUAAUAUUGGGAGUUUUUCUGGUAUACAGCUAACGCGUUAAGCAUUCCGCCUGGGGAGUACGAUCGCAAGAUUGGAACUCAAAGGAAUUGACGGGGGUCUACACAAGUGGUGGAGCAUGUGGUUUAAUGCGAUAAUACGCGCGAAAUCUUACCAGUUCUUGCAUAUAGUAAAAAAUUUAAUGUUAUGUUAUUUUCGUUACAGCAAUAAAAUAUUGUAAUAACAUUACUAUACAGGUGUUGCAUGGCUGUCGUCAGCUCGUGCCGUGAGGUGUCAGGUUAAGUCCUAUAACGAGCGCAACCCCUACCGUUAGUUGCCAGCAUGUCAUGAUGGGGACUCUAACGGGACUGCCGGUGCAAACCGUGAGGAAGGUGGGGAUGACGUCAAAUCAUCACGGCCCUUACGUCCUGGGCCACACACGUGCUACAAUGG